UGGGGAAUAUUGCACAAUGGAGGGAACUCUGAUGCAGCGACGCCGCGUGAACGAAGAAGGCUUUCGAGUCGUAAAGUUCUUUUAUAUGGGAAGAUAAUGACGGUACCAUAAGAAAAAGCCCCGGCUAACUACGCGCCAGCAGCCGCGGUAAUACGUAGGGGGCUAGCGUUGUCCGGAAUCACCGGGGGGAAAGGGUUCGCAGGCGGAAAUGCAAGUCAGGUGUAAAAGGCAGUAGCUUAACUACUGUAAGCAUUUGAAACUGCAUAUCUUGAGAAGAGUAGAGGUAAGUGGAAUUUUUAGUGUAGCGGUGAAAUGCGUAGAUAUUAAAAAGAAAACCGGUGGCGAAGGCGGCUUACUGGGCUCAUUCUGACGCUGAGGAACGAAAGCGUGGGUAGCAAACAGG
rnacentral:rRNA from 1 species